CUGUGAUGGGGAGAAGACAUUGUGUCUUCGAGUCGUUGAUUUCACACUGCCGAGAAAAGCCUCUAGAUAGAAAAUAGGUGCCCGUACCGCAAACCGACACAGGUAGUCAAGAUGAGAAUUCUAAGGUGAGCGAGCGAACUCUCGUUAAGGAACUCGGCAAAAUGACCCCGUAACUUCGGGAGAAGGGGUGCUCUUUAGGGUUAACGCCCAGAAGAGCCGCAGUGAAUAGGCCCAAGCGACUGUUUAUCAAAAACACAGGUCUCUGCUAAACCGUAAGGUGAUGUAUAGGGGCUGACGCCUGCCCGGUGCUGGAAGGUUAAGAGGAGUGGUUAGCUUCUGCGAAGCUACGAAUCGAAGCCCCAGUAAACGGCGGCCGUAACUAUAACGGUCCUAAGGUAGCGAAAUUCCUUGUCGGGUAAGUUCCGACCCGCACGAAAGGCGUAACGAUUUGGGCACUGUCUCAACGAGAGACUCGGUGAAAUCAUAGUACCUGUGAAGAUGCAGGUUACCCGCGACAGGACGGAAAGACCCCGUGGAGCUUUACUGUAGCCUGAUAUUGAAAUUCGGCACAGCUUGUACAGGAUAGGUAGGAGCCUUUGAAACGUGAGCGCUAGCUUACGUGGAGGCGCUGGUGGGAUACUACCCUAGCUGUGUUGGCUUUCUAACCCGCACCACUUAUCGUGGUGGGAGACAGUGUCAGGCGGGCAGUUUGACUGGGGCGGUCGCCUCCUAAAAGGUAACGGAGGCGCUCAAAGGUUCCCUCAGAAUGGUUGGAAAUCAUUCAUAGAGUGUAAAGGCAUAAGGGAGCUUGACUGCGAGACCUACAAGUCGAGCAGGGUCGAAAGACGGACUUAGUGAUCCGGUGGUUCCGCAUGGAAGGGCCAUCGCUCAACGGAUAAAAGCUACCCCGGGGAUAACAGGCUUAUCUCCCCCAAGAGUUCACAUCGACGGGGAGGUUUGGCACCUCGAUGUCGGCUCAUCGCAUCCUGGGGCUGUAGUCGGUCCCAAGGGUUGGGCUGUUCGCCCAUUAAAGCGGUACGCGAGCUGGGUUCAGAACGUCGUGAGACAGUUCGGUCCCUAUCCGUCGUGGGCGUAGGAAAUUUGAGAGGAGCUGUCCUUAGUACGAGAGGACCGGGAUGGACAUACCUCUGGUGUACCAGUUGUCGUGCCAACGGCAUAGCUGGGUAGCUAUGUGUGGACGGGAUAAGUGCUGAAAGCAUCUAAGCAUGAAGCCCCCCUCAAGAUGAGAUUUCCCAACUUCGGUUAUAAGAUCCCUCAAAGAUGAUGAGGUUAAUAGGUUCGAGGUGGAAGCAUGGUGACAUG
rnacentral:rRNA from 1 species